UACGUAGGAUGCAAGCGUUGUCCGGAUUUAUUGGUUUAAAAGGGAGCGUAGGCGGCCUAUUAAGUUAGUGGUGAAAACGUUCGGCUUAACCGGAUACCCGCCAUUGAUACUGAUAGACUUGAGUGCGACAGAGGGUGUUGGAAUGUGUGGUGUAGCGGUGAAAUGCUUAGAUAUCACGCAGAACACCAAUUGCGAAGGCAGAUGCCUAUGUCGUAACUGACGCUGAGGCACGAAAGCGUGGGGAGCAAACAGG
rnacentral:rRNA from 1 species